GACAGAGGUGCCGAGCGUUAGGCGGAAUCACUGGGCUUAAAGCGUGUGUAGGCGGGUCGUUAAGUGCCUUGUGAAAUCCCACAGCUCACCCUGUGGAACUGCUUGGCAUACUGGCGAUCGUUGAGCCACUUAGGGGCAACCGGAACAAACGGUGGAGCGGUGAAAUGCGUAGAUAUCGUUUGGAACGCCAAUGGUGAAAACAGGUUGCUGGGAGUGUGCUGACGCUGAGACACGAAAGCCAGGGGAGCAAACGGG
rnacentral:rRNA from 1 species